GCGGGCAUAUCCGAAUUGGCAGCAGGAGGCGCGCUCAAAACGCGUUGGCGAAAGCCCAUGUGAGUUCGAAUCUCACUGCCCGCA
rnacentral:tRNA from 1 species